GAGGGGGAGGGAGAGGAAAGGCGAGGAGAGAGAAGAGAAAAAGUAGGGAGAGGAGAACAAGGAGGAGAAAGCUCAGAGGCGAAAGGGAAACGGGAGCCAAAGAAAGAAGAGAAAGAAGAAAGGAGAGAGGAGGACGGUAAGGCUGGUCAGGACUGAAAUGACCCUGGCUUUGUGCAGAACUGGGAGGACUCCCCUUUCCAGGUGCCUGGAGGGACCUGGGGAAGUCCUUCUGCCCCGAGCUCCUCCCCCCGGGACCCCAGGGGUGUCUGAAGCGCUGGCCGUCGCUCCCCCAUAAAUUCCUCGUGGCAACGGGAGGAAGCGCGCCAGGUCUCCGCCGUCCCUUCAGUGCCCCGGCUGAUAAUUUACCUCUUUGUCUUUAAUAAAAAGCUGACUUUUUCUGUCAAGCUCUGCACCGGGAAAAUAACAAUCGUAUUUCAAGAUUGAAAGCUCCUAUUACUGCUGGGUUUUGGAGGCUGUGAUAAAAUCUUCAUCGACGUGAAGUGGGGAAAUGAGCCCUGGGGAGGAGCCUUUCGCGAGAACGUGAGCGCGCCCCAACACGCCUCAGACCUCAUAAACCCACUUGGCAAAGACCGGGGAAGCGGCUGGCAGACCGACUGCGGUGAACUCCAGAAAUUAACCUGCGCUGCAAUUAAACGGGCUGCCGCCCUUUCACACUCACCUCGAGCGACCGAGCUAGAGAGCUCCCGAACCGGCUGCGGGGGACCUGGCUCCUCCCUCCCGUCCCAGGAGAAGAGGACAAAAAGGGGAGAUGGACUUGGAGAUGGCCCCGCCCUUCAAACGCUCCAAUCCUUGGAAACUAAACCUCCUCUCCAAGCCUCCACAUCUAGAAGGGACAAAGGCAGCGAGGAGAUCCAGAGACCGAUGGGGAGAUAGGUGGCUUUCGGGCUUCUCAUGCGGGUGCACUGGGGGAAAGGUACAAUGGCUAAGUUUCCAUCCCAAAUAUGGGAUACUCUUUCGAAGACCAUCUUCUGGUUUAGAAGCUUAUUGACUUCUCAAAGCCGUGAAGCGAAUUACUGCAAAACUGCUGCACAGCCGUGCUUUUUGAAUGUGGGAAGGCUAAAAUUUCAAUUAAUGAUGCCUUACACAAUCUUUUCGACUUUUUGGAGUCCCAAGUGCCUUAACUAUGCAGCUAAAGGAAUUGGAAGAACUUACACAUGGUGGGGG
rnacentral:lncRNA from 1 species